rnacentral:rRNA from 1 species
UAAUACGUAGGGUGCGAGCGUUAAUCGGAAUUACUGGGCGUAAAGUGUGCGCAGGCGGCGUCGCAAGUCGAGUGUGAAAUCCCCGGGCUUAACUUGGGAAUUGCGCUCGAAACUACGGUGCUGGAGUGUGGCAGAGGAAGGUGGAAUUCCACGUGUAGCGGUGAAAUGCGUAGAGAUGUGGAGGAACACCAAUGGCGAAGGCAGCCUUCUGGGCCAACACUGACGCUCAUGCACGAAAGCGUGGGGAGCAAACA